GACGAACGCUGGCGGCGUGCUUAACACAUGCAAGUCGAACGGAAAGGCCCUGCUUUUGUGGGGUGCUCGAGUGGCGAACGGGUGAGUAACACGUGAGUAACCUGCCCUUGACUUUGGGAUAACUUCAGGAAACUGGGGCUAAUACCGGAUAGGAGCUCCUGCUGCAUGGUGGGGGUUGGAAAGUUUCGGCGGUUGGGGAUGGACUCGCGGCUUAUCAGCUUGUUGGUGGGGUAGCGGCUUACCAAGGCUUUGACGGGUAGCCGGCCUGAGAGGGUGACCGGCGACCUUGGGACUGCGGUACGGCCCAGAGUCGUACGGGGGGCAGCAGUGGGGAAUAUUGCCCAAUGGGCGGAAGCCUGAUGCGGCGGCGCCGCGUGCGGGAUGACGGCCUUCGGGUUGUAAACCGCUUUCGCCUGUGACGAAGCGUGAGUGACGGUAAUGGGUAAAGAAGCACCGGCUAACUACGUG
rnacentral:rRNA from 1 species